UCCCUGGAAGACUAGUGGUUAGGCCACAGCUCUCUCACCGCUGCAACCUGGGUUCAACUGCCGGCCAGGGAA